rnacentral:rRNA from 1 species
ACGGUGCUGAAGCAACAAAUGCCCUGCUUCCAGGAAAAGCCUCUAAGCCUCAGGUAACACGAAAUCGUACCCCAAACCGACACAGGUGGUCAGGUAGAGAAUACCAAGGCGCUUGAGAGAACUCGGGUGAAGGAACUAGGCAAAAUGGUGCCGUAACUUCGGGAGAAGGCACGCUGACACGUAGGUGAAGUGGUUUACCCAUGGAGCUGAAGUCAGUCGAAGAUACCAGCUGGCUGCAACUGUUUAUUAAAAACACAGCACUGUGCAAACACGAAAGUGGACGUAUACGGUGUGACGCCUGCCCGGUGCCGGAAGGUUAAUUGAUGGGGUCAGCGCAAGCGAAGCUCCUGAUCGAAGCCCCGGUAAACGGCGGCCGUAACUAUAACGGUCCUAAGGUAGCGAAAUUCCUUGUCGGGUAAGUUCCGACCUGCACGAAUGGCGUAAUGAUGGCCAGGCUGUCUCCACCCGGGACUCAGUGAAAUUGAACUCGCUGUGAAGAUGCAGUGUACCCGCGGCAAGACGGAAAGACCCCGUGAACCUUUACUAUAGCUUGACACUGAACACUGGUCCUUGAUGUGCAGGAUAGGUGGGAGGCUUUGAAGUGUGGACGCCAGUCUGCAUGGAGCCGUCCUUGAAAUACCACCCUUUAAUGGCUGGUGUUCUAACGUGGGCCCGUGAACCGGGUUGCGGACAGUGUCUGGUGGGUAGUUUGACUGGGGCGGUCUCCUCCUAAAGAGUAACGGAGGAGCACGAAGGUUGGCUAAUCCUGGUCGGACAUCAGGAGGUUAGUGCAAUGGCAUAAGCCAGCUUGACUGCGAGCGUGACGGCGCGAGCAGGUGCGAAAGCAGGUCAUAGUGAUCCGGUGGUUCUGAAUGGAAGGGCCAUCGCUCAACGGAUAAAAGGUACUCCGGGGAUAACAGGCUGAUACCGCCCAAGAGUUCAUAUCGACGGCGGUGUUUGGCACCUCGAUGUCGGCUCAUCACAUCCUGGGGCUGAAGUAGGUCCCAAGGGUAUGGCUGUUCGCCAUUUAAAGUGGUACGCGAGCUGGGUUUAGAACGUCGUGAGACAGUUCGGUCCCUAUCUGCCGUGGGCGCUGGAAGAUUGAGGGGGGCUGCUCCUAGUACGAGAGGACCGGAGUGGACGCAUCACUGGUGUUCGGGUUGUCAUGCCAAUGGCACUGCCCGGUAGCUACAUGCGGAAGAGAUAAGUGCUGAAAGCAUCUAAGCACGAAACUUGCCCCGAGAUGAAUCUUCCCUGAGCCUUUAAGGCUCCUGAAGGAACGUUGAAGACGACGACGUUGAUAGGCCGGGUGUGUAAGCGCAGCGAUGCGUUGAGCUAACCGGUACUAAUGAACCGUGAGGCUUAACCUU